rnacentral:rRNA from 1 species
CACGUAGGCAACCUGCCCAAAAGAGGGGGAUAACACUUGGAAACAGGUGCUAAUACCGCAUAACCAUGAACACCGCACGAUGUUCAUGUAAAAGACGGCUUUUGCUGUCACUUUUGGAUGGGCCUGCGGCGUAUUAACUUGUUGGUGGGGUAACGGCCUACCAAGGUGAUGAUACGUAGCCGAACUGAGAGGUUGAUCGGCCACAUUGGGACUGAGACACGGCCCAAACUCCUACGGGAGGCAGCAGUAGGGAAUCUUCCACAAUGGACGAAAGUCUGAUGGAGCAACGCCGCGUGAAUGAAGAAGGCCUUCGGGUCGUAAAAUUCUGUUGUCAGAGAAGAACGUGCGUGAGAGUAACUGUUCACGUAUUGACGGUAUCUGACCAGAAAGCCACGGCUAACUACGUGCCAGCAGCCGCGGUAAUACGUAGGUGGCGAGCGUUGUCCGGAUUUAUUGGGCGUAAAGGGAACGCAGGCGGUCUUUUAAGUCUGAUGUGAAAGCCUUCGGCUUAACCGAAGUAGUGCAUUGGAAACUGGAAGACUUGAGUGCAGAAGAGGAGAGUGGAACUCCAUGUGUAGCGGUGAAAUGCGUAGAUAUAUGGAAGAACACCAGUGGCGAAAGCGGCUCUCUGGUCUGUAACUGACGCUGAGGUUCGAAAGCGUGGGUAGCAAACAGGAUUAGAUACCCUGGUAGUCCACGCCGUAAACGAUGAGUGCUAAGUGUUGGAGGGUUUCCGCCCUUCAGUGCUGCAGCUAACGCAUUAAGCACUCCGCCUGGGGAGUACGGUCGCAAGACUGAAACUCAAAGGAAUUGACGGGGGCCCGCACAAGCGGUGGAGCAUGUGGUUUAAUUCGAAGCAACGCGAAGAACCUUACCAGGUCUUGACAUCUUCUGACAAUUCCAGAGAUGGAACGUUCCCUUCGGGGACAGAAUGACAGGUGGUGCAUGGUUGUCGUCAGCUCGUGUCGUGAGAUGUUGGGUUAAGUCCCGCAACGAGCGCAACCCUUAUUGUCAGUUGCCAUCAUUAAGUUGGGCACUCUGGCGAGACUGCCGGUGACAAACCGGAGGAAGGUGGGGAUGACGUCAAAUCAUCAUGCCCCUUAUGACCUGGGCUACACACGUGCUACAAUGGACGGUACAACGAGUCGCUAACUCGCGAGGGCAAGCUAAUCUCUUAAAGCCGUUCUCAGUUCGGAUUGCAGGCUGCAACUCGCCUGCAUGAAGUCGGAAUCGCUAGUAAUCGCGAAUCAGCAUGUCGCGGUGAAUACGUUCCG